GAUCCUGGCUCAGGAUGAACGCUGGCGGCGUGCCUAAUACAUGCAAGUAGAACGCUGAAGGAAGGAGCUUGCCCUUUCCGGAUGAGUUGCGAACGGGUGAGUAACGCGUAGGUAACCUGCCUGGUAGCGGGGGAUAACUAUUGGAAACGAUAGCUAAUACCGCAUAACAGUAGAUAUUGCAUGAUAUUUGCUUGAAAGGGGCAAUUGCUCCACUACCAGAUGGACCUGCGUUGUAUUAG
rnacentral:rRNA from 1 species